UAGUUAAAUGGACUACACCUGCCUACAGGUAGUUAAAUGGACUACACCUGCCUACAGAAUCAUUGUAUAUCAUUGGUUAUCCAUCCUAUCAUGUUACCACACAGAUGUGACUGGCUAGCUCAGCAGUUCCCAACCUUUCCCAUUCUGGAGACCAUCAAAUCACCGUCAAAAGCUCGAGGACCACCUUUCACGGAGUCGCUGAUAUUUUUCCACAUCAAUUAUAUUGCGGGUUAAAUUCCGUCUAAUAGAUGUGAAUGUAACACGUCCUGUAAAGAAUAUUAUUAUUAUAAACAAUUUGCAUUGUGAAAAGGAAUAUAAAAUUGAUUAUAAUACCGUU